UUUUAGACAUUGGGAAUGAUCGUAAACUAAAAAGUAUAAAGUGUAAUUGAAA
rnacentral:lncRNA from 1 species